rnacentral:lncRNA from 1 species
AGCUGCCAUGUACUAGGCCACGUGGCAAGGGCCUGGUUGGGGACCUCCAGGAGUUGAGAGCAUCCUCUGGACAACAUGGAAAAAGAAAAUGAAAAUGGUGACCUCAGCCCUAUAGCUAGAAGGAAUUGAAUCCUGUCAACAACGAUCCUCAUCACUCAAUGCAGAUGUUACUUUAAGACAUUCUGGAGCAGCGUCAUGUGCAGGAGAAAAUAGUAUCAUCUCAGCCUUCUAUGAAAUCAAGGCAAUAUGUGAGUAGUGCCUCCGCCCAUCUCUCUCUUGCUCCUGGUCUCAUCGUGACGGGCCUGGUCCUGCCUCACUUUAUGCCAGGACUAAGAGCUCCCUGAGGCCUCUCCAGAAGCAGAUAUCACUAUGCUUCCUACACAGCCUGCAGAACCGAACAAUAAGGAAGUUAGUGCUUUUGUAAUUCCUGAACAACUGUGUCUUACACUUACUAAGUUCUUUUGCCUGCCACCAUGUAAGAUAUGCCUUUACUCUUCCGCCUUCCACCAUGAUUGUGAGGCCUCCCCAGCCAUGUGAAACU